GAGUUUGAUCUUGGCUCAGAUUGAACGCUGGCGGCAUGCCUUACACAUGCAAGUCGAACGGCAGCAUGAUCUAGCUUGCUAGAUUGAUGGCGAGUGGCGAACGGGUGAGUAAUACAUCGGAACGUGCCCUGUAGUGGGGAUAACUAGUCGAAAGAUUAGCUAAUACCGCAUACGACCUGAGGGUGAAAGUGGGGGACCGCAAGGCCUCAUGCUAUAGGAGCGGCCGAUGUCUGAUUAGCUAGUUGUGGGUAAAGGCCCACCAAGGCGACGAUCAGUAGCUGGUCUGAGAGGACGAUCAGCCACACUGGGACUGAGACACGGCCCAGACUCCUACGGGAGGCAGCAGUGGGGAAUUUUGGACAAUGGGCGAAAGCCUGAUCCAGCAAUGUCGCGUGUGUGAAGAAGGCC
rnacentral:rRNA from 1 species